rnacentral:rRNA from 1 species
AGAGUUUGAUUAUGGCUCAGGAUGAACGCUAGCUACAGGCUUAACACAUGCAAGUCGAGCGGAACACCUUCGGGUGUUAGCGGCAGACGGGUGAGUAACACGUAUCCAACCUUUCCCUUACUUCGGUAUAGCCUCUGGAAACGGAGAGUAAUCCCGGAUGAAGUGUACGAUAAGCAUUUUUUGCACACCAAAGAUUUAUCGGUAAGGGGUGGGGAUGCGUUCCAUUAGGUAGUAGGCGGGGCAACGGCCCACCUAGCCGAUGAUGGAUAGGGGUUCUGAGAGGAAGGUCCCCCACAUUGGAACUGCGACACGGUCCAAACUCCUACGGGAGGCAGCAGUGAGGAAUAUUGGUCAAUGGUCGGAAGACUGAACCAGCCAAGUAGCGUGCAGGAUGACGGCCCUAUGGGUUGUAAACUGCUUUUGUGCGGGAAUAACGGUAGCCACGUGUGGUUGCGUGCAUGUACCGUACGAAUAAGGAUCGGCUAACUCCGUGCCAGCCGCCGC